rnacentral:rRNA from 12 species
AAGGUGAAAAGAACCCCUGUUAGGGGAGUGAAAUAGUACCUGAAACCAAUUGCAUACAAAGUGUCGGAGCUUGACUUCGGUCAAGUGACGGCGUGCCUUUUGCAUAAUGAGUCUGCGAGUUAUUGUCUGUGGCAAGCCUAAGUUUCUCUGAAAUGGAGGCGAAGCGAAAGCGAGUGUGAAAUGCGCGUUUAGUGGCAGGCAAUAGACCCGAAGCGGAGGUGAUCUACUCAUGAGCAGGUUGAAGCUGCGGUAACACGCAGUGAAGGACCGAACCGGUGUAUGUUGAAAAAUGCUCGGAUGACUUGUGAGUAGGAGCGAAAGACUAAUCAAACCCCGUAAUAGCUGGUUCUCUCCGAAAUAGCUUGAGGGCUAGCGUCGGAUAAGUACUCCGAGGAGGUAGAGCGCUGGAUGGACUAGGGCCCAUACCCGGGUACCAAAACCAAUCAAACUCCGAAUGCCUCGGAUCUCAUUAUUCCGGCAGUCAGUCGGCGAGGGAUAAGCUUCGUCGGCGCGAGGGAAACAUCCCAGACCGCCAGCUAAGGUGCCUAAAUAUGAUUAAGUGGAAAGGAUGUGACGUUGCUUAGACAGUGAGGAUGUUGGCUUAGAGGCAGCCACCAUUUAAACAAUGCGUAAUAGCUGACUCAUCGAGCGAUGUUGCGCCGAAAAUGAUUGGCGAUUAAAUCAUAUACCGAAGCUGCGGAUUUGCAGGGGAUUCGUCCCCUGUAAGUGGUAGGAGAGCGUAAUCAACGCAUUGAAGCUAGACGGUAACGGAAAGUGGAGCGUUGAUUAGUGAGAAUGCAGACAUGAGUAGCGAUUAGCCAGAUGAGAAUUCUGGCCGCCGUAUACCCAAGGUUUCCUGGGCCAGGUUCGUCCUCCCAGGGUUAGUCGGGACCUAAGGCGAACCCGAAAGGGGUAGUCGAUGGACAACUG